GAUCCCUUAGCUCAACUGGUUAGAGCGUGGUGCUAAUAACGCCAAGGUCCGAGGUUCAAGCCCUCGAGGGAUCA
rnacentral:tRNA from 1 species